GGAAUGGAUUAAGAGCUUGCUCUUAUGAAGUUAGCGGCGGACGGGUGAGUAACACGUGGGUAACCUGCCCAUAAGACUGGGAUAACUCCGGGAAACCGGGGCUAAUACCGGAUAACAUUUUGAACCGCAUGGUUCGAAAUUGAAAGGGGGCUUCGGCUGUCACUUAUGGAUGGACCCGCGUCGCAUUAGCUAGUUGGGGAGGUAACGGCUCACCAAGGCAACGAUGCGUAGCCGACCUGAGAGGGUGAUCGGCCACACUGGGACUGAGACACGGCCCAGACUCCUACGGGAGGCAGCAGUAGGGAAUCUUCCGCAAUGGACGAAAGUCUGACGGAGCAACGCCGCGUGAGUGAUGAAGGCUUUCGGGUCGUAAAACUCUGUUGUUAGGGAAGAACAAGUGCUAGUUGAAUAAGCUGGCACCUUGACGGUACCUAACCAGAAAGCCACGGCUAACUACGUGCCAGCAGCCGCGGUAAUACGUAGGUGGCAAGCGUUAUCCGGAAUUAUUGGGCGUAAAGCGCGCGCAGGUGGUUUCUUAAGUCUGAUGUGAAAGCCCACGGCUCAACCGUGGAGGGUCAUUGGAAACUGGGAGACUUGAGUGCAGAAGAGGAAAGUGGAAUUCCAUGUGUAGCGGUGAAAUGCGUAGAGAUAUGGAG
rnacentral:rRNA from 1 species